AUGGAAUCUUAUGUGGAUGCGGGGAGUCCUCAUGCAGUCAACACUGCUUGGGCAAUGUUAGCUUUAAUUUAUGCUGGGCAGGUUGAGCGAGAUCCCACACCACUAUAUCAUGCUGCAAAAGAAUUGGUCAAUAUGCAACUAGACACAGGCGAGUUUCCCCAGCAAGAACACGUUGGAUGCUUCAACUGCUCCUUUUACUACAAUCACGGCAACUACAGCAAUUUAUUCCCCAUCUGGGCUCUUGGGGAGCUUCGUCGUCGACUGCGUGAGAAGAACUGA
rnacentral:rRNA from 1 species